AUGUAAGGCUUCUGUCCUAAGUAUUCCUGGUUGGAACUUAACUCUUCUCACACUCCAUAGGACUGACUUCAGAGAAGGUAAGUUAAGGAUGGGGCUGUUAAUGCGAAAUACAUUUUAACAAGUCUU